rnacentral:rRNA from 1 species
UUCAAUACUGUUGCUUGCAAUGGUGUGCACUUUUCUCUUAGUAAGACGUUGUGAUCCAUUAGGAAUCGAUUGUCUAUCUAAUAUUGGACAAUCAAUAGGCUACCAAUAGGCUGGCAUUGAAGUUCAUUCUGGUAAAUAACAUUAUCUUUUGGUUGUGUAUAUUACCUUGUGAGCAUGYCGUGUUCUGAUGUAGCUGCCUGAUGGAUUUUAAAGGUCRUAUCAUUGAUGCUUGCAUCACCCAACUCGUUGGGAUUNNNNNNNNNNNNNNNNNNNNNNCCCGAUCAACAACGGUUUCAUUUGGGAUACCUUUGGGACCCGUCUUGAAACACGGACCAAGGAGUCUAUCUAGUAUGCGAGUAAAUGGGAUUUAAAGACCUAUUUGCGUAAAUAACUUGACUGUAAUUUAAUGGGAUUACGUGUGCAUUUACUUUACAGUGUGUACACCUCCAUCCCGGGGUAUUUUCAUCAUUUAUAUGGGCAACUAUAUAAAGAAAAUAUACCAUGAGCAUACUGGACAUGACCCGAAAGAUGGUGAACUAUGCCUGAUCAGGUUGAAGUCAGGGGAAACCCUGAUGGAGGACCGAAGCAAUUCUGACGUGCAAAUCG